CCUACGGGGGGCUGCAGUGGGGAAUAUUGCACAAUGGGGGAAACCCUGAUGCAGCGACGCCGCGUGAGUGAAGAAGUAAUUCGUUAUGUAAAGCUCUAUCAGCAGGGAAGAAAAUGACGGUACCUGAGUAAGAAGCCCCGGCUAACUACGUGCCAGCAGCCGCGGUAAUACGUAGGGGGCAAGCGUUAUCCGGAUUUACUGGGUGUAAAGGGAGCGUAGACGGUAUGGCAAGUCUGAUGUGAAAACCCGGGGCUCAACCCCGGGACUGCAUUGGAAACUGCCGAACUAGAGUGUCGGAGAGGCAAGUGGAAUUCCUAGUGUAGCGGUGAAAUGCGUAGAUAUUAGGAGGAACACCAGUGGCGAAGGCGGCUUGCUGGACGAUGACUGACGUUGAGGCUCGAAAGCGUGGGGAGCAAACAGGAUUAGAUACCCGUGUAGUC
rnacentral:rRNA from 1 species